GAUUGAACGCUGGCGGCAGGCCUAACACAUGCAAGUCGAGCGGCAGCGGGAAAGUAGCUUGCUACUUUUGCCGGCGAGCGGCGGACGGGUGAGUAAUGCCUGGGAAAUUGCCCAGUCGAGGGGGAUAACAGUUGGAAACGACUGCUAAUACCGCAUACGCCCUACGGGGGAAAGCAGGGGACCUUCGGGCCUUGCGCGAUUGGAUAUGCCCAGGUGGGAUUAGCUAGUUGGUGAGGUAAUGGCUCACCAAGGCGACGAUCCCUAGCUGGUCUGAGAGGAUGAUCAGCCACACUGGAACUGAGACACGGUCCAGACUCCUACGGGAGGCAGCAGUGGGGAAUAUUGCACAAUGGGGGAAACCCUGAUGCAGCCAUGCCGCGUGUGUGAAGAAGGCCUUCGGGUUGUAAAGCACUUUCAGCGAGGAGGAAAGGUCAGUAGCUAAUAUCUGCUGGCUGUGACGUUACUCGCAGAAGAAGCACCGGCUAACUCCGU
rnacentral:rRNA from 1 species